rnacentral:rRNA from 1 species
UACAGAGGGUGCGAGCGUUUAAUCGGAAUUACUGGGCGUAAAGCGUGCGCAGGCGGUUCGUUGUGUCGGUGGUGAAAUCCCCGGGCUUAACCUGGGAAUGGCCAUGGAAACUGGCGAACUGGAGUGCGGCAGAGGGGGGUGGAAUUCCGCGUGUAGCAGUGAAAUGCGUAGAGAUGCGGAGGAACACCGAUGGCGAAGGCAGCCCCCCUGGGCUAGCACUGACGCUCAGGCACGAAAGCGUGGGUAGCAAACAGG